GAUGAAGAACGUAGCGAAAUGCGAUAAGUAAUGUGAAUUGCAGAAUUCAGUGAAUCAUCGAAUCUUUGAACGCACAUUGCGCCCCUUGGUAUUCCGAGGGGCAUGCCUGUUCGAGCGUCAUUAUAACCCCUCAAGCUCAGCUUGGUAUUGGGGCCUGCUGCACUGGCAGCCCUUAAAAUCAGUGGCGGCGCCAUCUGGCUCUAAGCGUAGUAAUUCUUCUCGCUAUGGAGUCCUGGUGGAUGCUUGCCAUCAACCCCCAAUUUUUCUAUGGUUGACCUCGGAUCAGGUAGGGAUACCCGCUGAACUUAAGCAUAUCAAUAAGCGGAGGA
rnacentral:misc_RNA from 1 species